GACGAACGCUGGCGGUGUGCCUUAUGCAUGCAAGUCGAACGAGCCCCGCAAGGGGCUAGUGGCAAACGGCUGAGUAACACGUGAGUGACCAACCCUUUAGUGGGGGAUAAUCCGCCGAAAGGUGGUGUAAUACCGCAUACGCUCCCGAGGCCGCAUGGCCUCGGGAGGAAAGCCGCAAGGCGCUGAAGGACGGGCUCGCGGCCGAUCAGGGAGUUGGCGGGGUAACGGCCACCAAGCCUAAGACGGGUAGCUGGUCUGAGAGGACGACCAGUCAGACGGGGACUGGGACACGGCCCAGACUCCUACGGGAGGCAGCAGUGGGGAAUAUUGGACAAUGGGCGCAAGCCUGAUCCAGCCAUGCCGCGUGGGUGAUGAAGGCCCUAGGGUUGUAAAGCCCUUUCAGCGGGGAAGAUAAUGACGGUACCCGCAGAAGAAGCCCCGGCUAACUUCGUGCCAGCCGCCGCGGUAACAC
rnacentral:rRNA from 1 species